GCGCUGGAGGUCACGGCGGCGGCAGAGAGGCAAGGAGGGAACAGGGAGGUGGCGCCGGGAGCGCGCCGAGGGCAGCAGGAACGUCCCAGGCCACCCGGAUCCUCGCGGAGGCCGGGAAGGAGCCCCCCAGGGUGGCCCUUCCCAGCACCCACAGGCUGUGCGCCUCAGCCCAGGCUACCGCCCUCUCCGGCGGGUGUGAGGGGCCGGCGGAAAGCGACGGGGGUUUCCCACAGGAAGCCUCGGCGAGGCGAGCGGCGGCGGGGGAGAGGAGGGCGGAGGUGAAGGUUUUUGUCUACACCACUUCUGCAAUGAUAUAAGAGAGUGUUAAAAAAAAAAAGAUACCAGCCAAUCCGCAAAGAGUUC